CCUACGGGAGGCUGUAGUGGGGAAUAUUGGACAAUGGGGGGAACCCUGAUCCAGCCAUGCCGCGUGUGUGAAGAAGGCCCUCGGGUUGUAAAGCACUUUCAGUGAGGAAGAACGCCUGGUGGUUAAUACCCAUCAGGAAAGACAUCACUCACAGAAGAAGCACCGGCUAACUCCGUGCCAGCAGCCGCGGUAAUACGGAGGGUGCGAGCGUUAAUCGGAAUUACUGGGCGUAAAGCGCGCGUAGGUGGCUUGAUAAGCCGGUUGUGAAAGCCCCGGGCUCAACCUGGGAACGGCAUCCGGAACUGUCAAGCUAGAGUGCAGGAGAGGAAGGUAGAAUUCCCGGUGUAGCGGUGAAAUGCGUAGAGAUCGGGAGGAAUACCAGUGGCGAAGGCGGCCUUCUGGACUGAAACUGACACUGAGGUGCGAAAGCGUGGGUAGCAAACAGGAUUAGAUACCCCUGUAGUC
rnacentral:rRNA from 1 species